rnacentral:tRNA from 1 species
GCACCCAUAGCUCAGCUGGAUAGAGCGCCGGACUUCGAAUCCGUAGGUCGUAGGUUCGAAUCCUACUGGGUGUA